GACGUAGGGCGCGAGCGUUGUUCGGAAUUACUGGGCGUAAAGCGUGCGCAGGCGGCUAUCCAAGUCAGUGGUGAAAGCCCGGAGCUCAACUCCGGAACUGCCAUUGAAACUGGUUGGCUCGAGUCCGAUAGAGGUGAGUGGAAUUCCUAGUGUAGAGGUGAAAUUCGUAGAUAUUAGGAAGAACACCAGUGGCGAAGGCGGCUCACUGGAUCGGUACUGACGCUGAGGUGCGAAAGCGUGGGGAGCAAACAGG
rnacentral:rRNA from 1 species